ACUAAAAAGACUGCUGGCUAUAAAUAAGAAGUGGGCCCUCACCAGAUACCAAAUCUUCUGGCAUCACGAUCUUCCCAGGCCCCAGAACUGAGAAAAAUUUGAAUUGUUUUCUUCUUUGCUCCUGAAUCACAGAGGAGAUAGUCCAUAACCUGUGAGCUGGGCCAGAAGCUAAGUACUUUUAUCCCGCUUCCCAAACUGGAAAUAAUGCUUUUCUUUGGCUACCUAACAGUGCAGUGGCAAAAGGUUCAGAUUCGGUUUUCAGGCUCAGAGUAGAAUGAGCAAAAACCAAUGACAUUUCCACUUUUCCAACUAUAAUGCUGAAAAAAAUAGCUGCUGCACUGUAUCUUUUAAGAGUGUUGUGGAUACCAGCUAUUGUGGGUUUGCUCAACUCCCAACCCCUGGCAACUCAGAAUAUGACUUUAACUGGAGAUAGACUCUUUACAGAGGUAAUUAAAAUGAGGUCAUUAGGAUGGGCCCUAAUACAGUAUGACUGGUGUCCUUACAAGAAGAAAUUUGCAAAAAGACAUGGACAGAGGGAAAAUAAAGGGAGAAGACAGCGAUUUUACAAGCCAGAGAGAGAUACCCUGAACAGAUCCUUCCCUCACAGCCUUCCAAAGGAAUCAAUCCUGACAGCACCUUGAUCUCAGACUUACAGCCUCCAGAACUUUGAGUAAAUAAAUUUCUAUUGUUUAAGCCGCC
rnacentral:lncRNA from 1 species